CGGCACAGCGUCGUCGAUGAUGGGGGUAAGGAACUCAUACGAUAGCAAUGACAAGAAUGGAGUAACGCAUCGGCAAAUAAGUAGACGGUGAGGCGCGAAAUAGAAUAGUGUGAGCGCGAGGUUGUUCACAAGAAGAUUAUACACGCAGCACGAUAAAGGUGUCCCUCCAGGCACCUUUUUCCACUAUCCGCCUGAGAUUAAGCAUAUCAAUAAGCGGAGGAAAAAGAAACCAACAGGGAUUGCCUUAGUAACGGCGAGUGAAGCGGCAAAAGCUCAGAUUUGAAAUCUAGCGUCUUAUAGGCGUUCGAGUUGUAAUCUGUAGAGAAGUUAUCGAGUGUGGAUUUGGCUUAAGUUCUUUGGAACAGGACGUCAUAGAGGGUGAGAACCCCGUAUACGGCCUUUGUCUUAUACUCAUGUGAGGCUUCUUCAACGAGUCGAGUUGUUUGGGAAUGCAGCUCUAAAUGGGUGGUAAACUCCAUCUAAAGCUAAAUACUGGCAAGAGACCGAUAGCGCACAAGUAGAGUGAUCGAAAGAUGAAAAGAACUCUGAACAGAGAGUUAAAUAGUACGUGAAAUUGUUGAAAGGGAAGCACUUGCUACCAGACUCGCUUGCAGUUAAUCAACUAUCCUUCUGGGUGGUGCACUUUUCUGUAGGCGGGCCAGCAUCAGUUGUGUUGGUGGGAUAAAGACAGUUGGAAUGUGGCUCUCUUCGGAGAGUGUUAUAGACUUCUGUGUAAUACCAUCUAAUGCGACUGAGGUCAGCGCUUCGGCGAGGAUGCUGGCAUAAUGGUCGUAAGUGACCCCGUCUUGAAACACGGACCAAGGAGUCUAACAUCUAUGCGAGUGUUUGGGUGUAAAACCCCUUACGCGAAAUGAAAAGUGAAUGGAGGUGGGAACCGCAAGGUGCACCAUCGACCGAUCCUGAUGUCUUCGGAUGGAUUUGAGUAGGAGCAUAGCUGUUGGGACCCGAAAGAUGGUGAACUAUGCCUGAAUAGGGUGAAGCCAGAGGAAACUCUGGUGGAGGCUCGCAGCGGUUCUGACGUGCAAAUCGAUCGUCAAAUUUGGGUAUAGGGGCGAAAGACUAAUCG
rnacentral:rRNA from 1 species